GGCUGCGACUGUAGCAGGUUGGAAACAUCGGUUGUCGUUUGAUCACUCAAGUGAAGCAACAUCAGUCCCGGUUAGUACUUGCAAGGGUGACCAGAUGAAAUACUGGGUGUUGCGUCUG
rnacentral:rRNA from 1 species